GAAAGGGCCAAAAAACUGCUAACUUUUACCACUGAUACUAACCCAUCAGACCUUUCC
rnacentral:tRNA from 1 species